rnacentral:rRNA from 1 species
AGAGCGAACGCUGGCGGCAGGCCUAACACAUGCAAGUUGAGCGCCCGUAGCAAUACGGGAGCGGCAGACGGGAUAGUAACACGUGGGAACGCGCCCUUCGGUUCGGAAUAACUCAGGGAAACUUGAGCUAAUACCGAAUACGCCCUUACGGGGAAAGAUUUAUUGCCGAAGGAACGGCCCGCGUCCGAUUAGCUAGUUGGUGAGGUAAUGGCUCACCAAGGCUACGAUCGGUAGCUGGUCUGAGAGGAUGACCAGCAUCACUGGGACUGAGACACGGCCCAGACUCCUACGGGAGGCAGCAGUGGGGAAUAUGGACAAUGGGCGCAAGCCUGAUCCAGCCAUGCCGCGUGGAUGAUGAAGGCCUUAGGGUUGUAAAGUCCUUUUAACGGGGAAGAUAAUGACGGUACCCGUAGAAUAAGCCCGGCUAACUUCGUGCCAGCAGCCGC